AAAUACGCUCCUUUGCGUGUUUUGGUUAGGCAUAGAGAAAGACAUUUUACAGUGGUAUUUUCUCUAUGCUCUUAUUAUAGCA
rnacentral:antisense_RNA from 1 species